rnacentral:rRNA from 1 species
UACGUAGGGGGGCAAGCGUUGUCCGGAAUUAUUGGGCGUAAAGAGCUCGUAGGCGGUUUGUUGCGUCGGCUGUGAAAUCCCGAGGCUCAACCUCGGGUCUGCAGUCGAUACGAGCAAACUAGAGUGUUGCAGGGGAGACUGGAAUUCCUGGUGUAGCGGUGAAAUGCGCAGAUAUCAGGAAGAACACCAGUGGCGAAGGCGGUGCUCUGGGCCGGAACUGACGCUGAGGAGCGAAAGCGUGGGGAGCAAACAGG